rnacentral:rRNA from 1 species
UACGUAGGGACCAAGCGUUGUUCGGAUUUACUGGGCGUAAAGGGCGCGUAGGCGGCCUAACAAGUCACUUGUGAAAUCUCCGGGCUUAACUCGGAACUGCCAAGUGAAACUGUCAGGCUAGAGUGCAGAAGGGGCAAUCGGAAUUCUUGGUGUAGCGGUGAAAUGCGUAGAUAUCAAGAGGAACACCUGAGGUGAAGACGGGUUGCUGGGCUGACACUGACGCUGAGGCACGAAAGCGUGGGGAGCAAACAGG